CCUGGAGGCCAAUGUCACCGCGCUGGGGACCGAGCUGGUGGCGCUGCGGCGCGAGCGGGCCGAGCUGGCGGGUGACAAAGUGGCGCUGCAAGAGGAGGUGGCGCGGGGCGCGGAGCGGGCGCGGAGGCUGCAGGAGGAGCUGGAGCAGCUGCGGGAGCUGCGGGAGCGCCGGGAGCGCUGCGAGGCGCGACACCGGGAGCUCCAGGACACCCUCCGGGACUGCGCGGCCGAGGUGGAGGCGCUGCGGCGGCGGGGGAGGGACAGAGGCAGCGGGCGCAGGUGUCCCCCGGCCCG